AGUAUAUUUAUAUGAUGUAUUAUGGAACUGUAGACUUGAAACCUAUAUAAUUCUAUUAACUAAUGUUACCCCAAUAAAUUAUAAAAGAAAGUCUCUU